AUGUUGACUGUCCCACCUGCGGAGAUUGGGCUUCCACUCUUGGGAAAAGCUGACAGACUCCCGUACCUCAAGAUUCCUGAAGAAGGGCACCAUGGAGAGGAGGAGGUGGAGACUUUUGCCUUUCAGGCAGAAAUUGCCCAGCUCAUGUCUCUCAUCAAUACUUUCUAUUCCAACAAGGAAAUCUUUCUUCAAGAGUUGAUCCCUACGCUUCUGAUGCCUUGGACAAGAUUUGUUAGGAGAGCCUGACAGAUCCUUCCAAGUUAGACAGUGUUAAAGAGUUAAAAGUUUACAUCAUCCCUAACCCUCAGGAACAAACUCUGACCUUGGUGGACACAGGCAUUGGUAUGACCAAGGCUGAUUUCAUAAAUAAUUUGGGAACCAUUGCCAAGUCUGGCAGUAAAGCAUUUAUGGAGGCUUUUCAGGCUGGUGCAGAUAUCUCCAUGAUUGGGCAGUUUGGUGUUGGCUUUUAUUCUGCCUACCUAGUGGCAGAGAAAAACACAACUACAAUAAACAGUAUGACUGGGAAUGUUAUUCCGGGGGUUCCUUCACUGUGAGUGCUGAUCAUGGUGAGCCCAUUGGCAAGGGCACUAAAGUGAUCCUCCACAAUAAAAAAGACCAGACAGAGUAUUUAGAAGAGAGGCAUGUCAAAGAAGUAGUGAAGAAGCACUUGCAGUUCAUAGGCUAUCCCAUCACCUUUUACUUGGAGAAGAAAUGAGAGAAGGAAAUCAGUGACAAUGUGGCAGAAGAAGAGAAAGGUGAGAAAGAAGAAGAAGAUAAAGAUGAUGAAGAGAAACCCAAGAUUGAAGAUGCAGGCUCAGAGGAGGAGGAUGACAGCAGUGAGGAUAAGGAAAAGAAAACCAAGAAGAUUAAGGAAAAAUACUUUGAUCAGGAAGAAUUAAACAAAACCAAGCCCAUUUGGACCAGAAACCCUGAUGACAUCACCCAGGAGGAGAAUGGAGAAUUCUACAAGAACCUCACCAAUGACUGGGAAGACCACUUGGCAGUCAAGCACUUUUUUGUAGAAGGUCAGUUGGUAUUCAGGGCGUUGCUUUUCAUCCCUCAUUGGGCUCCCUUUGACCUCUUUGACAACAAAAAGAAAAAGAACAACAUUAAACUGUAUGUCUGUCGUGUGUUCAUCAUGGACAGCUAUGAUGAGUUGAUACCAGAAUAUCUCAACUUUAUCCGUGGUGUGGUUGACUCUGAGAAUCUGCCCUGAACAUCUCUGGAGAAAUGCUUCAGCAGAUCAAAAUUUUGAAAGUGGUUCACAAAAACAUUGAUAGGAAGUGCCUUCAGCUCUUUUCUGAGUUAGCAGAAGACAAGGAGAACUAUAAAAAAUUCUAUGGGGCAUUCUCUAAAAAUUUGAAUCUUGGAAUACAUGAGGACUCCACUAACUGGUGACACCUGUCUGAGCUGCUGCGCUAUCAUACCUCCCAAUCUGGAGAUGAGAUGACUUCUCUGUCAGAGUAUGUCUCUCGCAUGAAGGAAACACAUAAGUUCAUCUAUUACAUCACUGGUGAGAGCAAAGAGCAGGUGGCCAACUCUGCGUUUGUGGAGUGAGUGCGGAAGCGGGGCUUUGAAGUGGUAUAUAUGACUGAGCC